UACGAAGGGUGCGAGCGUUAAUCGGAAUUACUGGGCGUAAAGAGCACGUAGGCGGUUUGAUAAGCGGAAUGUGAAAGCCCCGGGCUUAACCUGGGAACUGCAUCCCGAACUGUCAGGCUAGAGUAUGAUAGAGGUGAGCGGAAUUUCCUGUGUAGCGGUGAAAUGCGUAGAUAUAGGAAGGAACAUCAGUUGCGAAGGCGGCUCACUGGAUCAAUACUGACGCUGAGGUGCGAAAGCGUGGGUAGCGAAC
rnacentral:rRNA from 1 species